CUCCCCACGUAGGAUCUCUGUCCUUAAUGUGUUUUACUAUGAAACUUAAAAACAACACUACUAGUUGAACAAUGCCCUAUACCUUGUGCGGUUGUGUGAGUGCAGCCUGUUGAAAUCCUUGCUUAGUGUAUACUAAGUUGAUCUUCUGUAUAUGAAGCUUUGCCAAGUAUAUAAUUUAAGACUAACACAUACAACAUAAGGAAAUAAAAUAUUCCAUAUCCAGAAGUGAAUCAUGGACUUAAGGGUCUAACUGGAAAGCAAACCAAAUCAGUCUUCCACAAUGGAAAAGCUGAGAAAAUAAGGAGAACAAGAUGCAGUGAGGAAAAGGGGAGUGAUUAAAUUACAGGAGCAGCACUUGAUUUGACCAGGAUAAAAUUUGGAACGGUUUUUUGGUUGCAAUUGAGUUCUCAAAGACAGAGAAGAUUGAGUUGAAAAUCAAGCCAAGAAGAAAUUAUUGUCUUCCCUCUGUUGGCAGAAGCAACUCCAGGAGGAAAUGAAUUUCCUACAAAGCAUAACUUGAACCAAACCAUCAGUCAAGACCCUAGGAGGCAGUGCAAAAGGCUCUAAUAAUUUGGUUUCUGCUACCCACGAGGAAGACCUGGAUUACAUUCCUAGCUCCUGACUACCAGCCCCUUGUUUCAGCCACAGCCAAACCCCCAUCUCCAUCAUCUACCUAUCUAUCCAUCUCUCACUCACUCUUUCUUAAAUAAAUAAAGUUUGAAAGAUAUAAGAUUG